rnacentral:rRNA from 1 species
GAUCAUGGCUCAGGAUGAACGCUGGCGGCGUGCCUAACACAUGCAAGUCGAGCGGGAUCUUGCUAAAUGACGCUUCGGUAUUUAUCUUAGUGGCGGACGGGUGAGUAACACGUGAGGAACCUGCCUCUGAGUGCGGAAUAGCUUCUGGAAACGGAUGGUAAUACCGCAUAAUAUUAUGUUAUCGCAUGGUAAUAUAAUCAAAGAUUUAUUGCUCAGAGAUGGCCUCGCGUCUGAUUAGCUAGUUGGUGAGGUAACGGCCCACCAAGGCGACGAUCAGUAGCCGGACUGAGAGGUUGGACGGCCACAUUGGGACUGAGACACGGCCCAGACUCCUACGGGAGGCAGCAGUCGGGAAUAUUGCGCAAUGGGGGAAACCCUGACGCAGCGACGCCGCGUAAAGGAAGAAGGUCUUCGGAUUGUAAACUUUUGUCGACAGGGAAGAAAAAUGACAGUACCUGUGGAGGAAGCCCCGGCUAACUACGUG